UUAAGCGACUAAGCGUACACGGUGGAUGCCCUGGCAGUCAGAGGCGAUGAAGGACGUGCUAAUCUGCGAUAAGCGUCGGUAAGGUGAUAUGAACCGUUAUAACCGGCGAUUUCCGAAUGGGGAAACCCAGUGUGAUUCGUCACACUAUCAUUAACUGAAUCCAUAGGUUAAUGAGGCGAACCGGGGGAACUGAAACAUCUAAGUACCCCGAGGAAAAGAAAUCAACCGAGAUUCCCCAGUAGCGGCGAGCGAACGGGGAGCAGCCCAGAGCCUGAAUCAGUGUGUGUGUUAGUGGAAGCGUCUGGAAAGGCGUGCGAUACAGGGUGACAGCCCCGUACACAAAAAUGCACAUGCUGUGAGCUCGAUGAGUAGGGCGGGACACGUGGUAUCCUGUCUGAAUAUGGGGGGACCAUCCUCCAAGGCUAAAUACUCCUGACUGACCGAUAGUGAACCAGUACCGUGAGGGAAAGGCGAAAAGAACCCCGGCGAGGGGAGUGAAAAAGAACCUGAAACCGUGUACGUACAAGCAGUGGGAGCACAGAGCAAUCUGUGUGACUGCGUACCUUUUGUAUAAUGGGUCAGCGACUUAUAUUCUGUAGCAAGGUUAACCGAAUAGGGGAGCCGAAGGGAAACCGAGUCUUAACUGGGCGUUAAGUUGCAGGGUAUAGACCCGAAACCCGGUGAUCUAGCCAUGGGCAGGUUGAAGGUUGGGUAACACUAACUGGAGGACCGAACCGACUAAUGUUGAAAAAUUAGCGGAUGACUUGUGGCUGGGGGUGAAAGGCCAAUCAAACCGGGAGAUAGCUGGUUCUCCCCGAAAGCUAUUUAGGUAGCGCCUCGUGAAUUCAUCUCCGGGGGUAGAGCACUGUUUCGGCAAGGGGGUCAUCCCGACUUACCAACCCGAUGCAAACUGCGAAUACCGGAGAAUGUUAUCACGGGAGACACACGGCGGGUGCUAACGUCCGUCGUGAAGAGGGAAACAACCCAGACCGCCAGCUAAGGUCCCAAAGUCAUGGUUAAGUGGGAAACGAUGUGGGAAGGCCCAGACAGCCAGGAUGUUGGCUUAGAAGCAGCCAUCAUUUAAAGAAAGCGUAAUAGCUCACUGGUCGAGUCGGCCUGCGCGGAAGAUGUAACGGGGCUAAACCAUGCACCGAAGCUGCGGCAGCGACGCUUAUGCGUUGUUGGGUAGGGGAGCGUUCUGUAAGCCUGCGAAGGUGUGCUGUGAGGCAUGCUGGAGGUAUCAGAAGUGCGAAUGCUGACAUAAGUAACGAUAAAGCGGGUGAAAAGCCCGCUCGCCGGAAGACCAAGGGUUCCUGUCCAACGUUAAUCGGGGCAGGGUGAGUCGACCCCUAAGGCGAGGCCGAAAGGCGUAGUCGAUGGGAAACAGGUUAAUAUUCCUGUACUUGGUGUUACUGCGAAGGGGGACGGAGAAGGCUAUGUUGGCCGGGCGACGGUUGUCCCGGUUUAAGCGUGUAGGCUGGUUUUCCAGGCAAAUCCGGAAAACUAAGGCUGAGGCGUGAUGACGAGGCACUACGGUGCUGAAGCAACAAAUGCCCUGCUUCCAGGAAAAGCCUCUAAGCAUCAGGUAACAUCAAAUCGUACCCCAAACCGACACAGGUGGUCAGGUAGAGAAUACCAAGGCGCUUGAGAGAACUCGGGUGAAGGAACUAGGCAAAAUGGUGCCGUAACUUCGGGAGAAGGCACGCUGAUAUGUAGGUGAAGUCCCUCGCGGAUGGAGCUGAAAUCAGUCGAAGAUACCAGCUGGCUGCAACUGUUUAUUAAAAACACAGCACUGUGCAAACACGAAAGUGGACGUAUACGGUGUGACGCCUGCCCGGUGCCGGAAGGUUAAUUGAUGGGGUUAGCGCAAGCGAAGCUCUUGAUCGAAGCCCCGGUAAACGGCGGCCGUAACUAUAACGGUCCUAAGGUAGCGAAAUUCCUUGUCGGGUAAGUUCCGACCUGCACGAAUGGCGUAAUGAUGGCCAGGCUGUCUCCACCCGAGACUCAGUGAAAUUGAACUCGCUGUGAAGAUGCAGUGUACCCGCGGCAAGACGGAAAGACCCCGUGAACCUUUACUAUAGCUUGACACUGAACAUUGAGCCUUGAUGUGUAGGAUAGGUGGGAGGCUUGGAAGUGUGGACGCCAGUCUGCAUGGAGCCGACCUUGAAAUACCACCCUUUAAUGUUUGAUGUUCUAACGUUGACCCGUGAUCCGGGUUGCGGACAGUGUCUGGUGGGUAGUUUGACUGGGGCGGUCUCCUCCUAAAGAGUAACGGAGGAGCACGAAGGUUGGCUAAUCCUGGUCGGACAUCAGGAGGUUAGUGCAAUGGCAUAAGCCAGCUUGACUGCGAGCGUGACGGCGCGAGCAGGUGCGAAAGCAGGUCAUAGUGAUCCGGUGGUUCUGAAUGGAAGGGCCAUCGCUCAACGGAUAAAAGGUACUCCGGGGAUAACAGGCUGAUACCGCCCAAGAGUUCAUAUCGACGGCGGUGUUUGGCACCUCGAUGUCGGCUCAUCACAUCCUGGGGCUGAAGUAGGUCCCAAGGGUAUGGCUGUUCGCCAUUUAAAGUGGUACGCGAGCUGGGUUUAGAACGUCGUGAGACAGUUCGGUCCCUAUCUGCCGUGGGCGCUGGAGAACUGAGGGGGGCUGCUCCUAGUACGAGAGGACCGGAGUGGACGCAUCACUGGUGUUCGGGUUGUCAUGCCAAUGGCACUGCCCGGUAGCUAAAUGCGGAAGAGAUAAGUGCUGAAAGCAUCUAAGCACGAAACUUGCCCCGAGAUGAGUUCUCCCUGACUCCUUGAGAGUCCUGAAGGAACGUUGAAGACGACGACGUUGAUAGGCCGGGUGUGUAAGCGCAGCGAUGCGUUGAGCUAACCGGUACUAAUGAACCGUGAGGCUUAACCU
rnacentral:rRNA from 1 species